rnacentral:rRNA from 1 species
ACGAACGUUGGCGGCGUGCUUAACAAAUGCAAGUCGAACGGAAAGGCCCUGCUUUUGUGGGGUGCUCGAGUGGCGAACGGGUGAGUAACACGUGAGUAACCUGCCCUUGACUUUGGGAUAACUUCAGGAAACUGGGGCUAAUACCGGAUAGGAGCUCCUGCUGCAUGGUGGGGGUUGGAAAGUUUCGGCGGUUGGGGAUGGACUCGCGGCUUAUCAGCUUGUUGGUGGGGUAGUGGCUUACCAAGGCUUUGACGGGUAGCCGGCCUGAGAGGGGGACCGGCCACAGUGGGACUGAGAUACGGCCCAGACUCCUACGGGAGGCAGCAGUGGGGAAUAUUGCACAAUGGGCGGAAGCCUGAUGCAGCAACGCCGCGUGCGGGAUGACGGCCUUCGGGUUGUAAACCGCUUUCGCCUGUGACGAAGCGUGAGUGACGGUAAUGGGUAAAGAAGCACCGGCUAACUACGUG